rnacentral:lncRNA from 1 species
GUGGGGGCAAAGGCAGUGACGUAACAACUUCACUCUAGGUAUUGAAAGAGGAUGUGAGAAGCAUCCGGGGGCAAUAGUACAAAAGGGCGAAGCAACAGAAGAGAAAUAAUCUGGGAAGCACAGCAGCCUUGGGCAUGCAACAGUGUUUUCCAUUUUAUUAUUUAUUAUCCUGGAGUUAUGCAGGAUUUCUAUUUGCUAGGAGAGGUAUUAGUAAUAGGAAUUUCUUUGAGUGAUUUGGAGGUGAACAAAUCUUUUCUUUUCUGUGAGCUACAGUGGUUACUGCUCUGAAUUUUGAGUGACUGACCAACUACCGGCUUCUCAUCCAUCUACCUUUUGGAAGAAAUAAGGCUUUUAAAAAUCAACUUAUGGUCUAACAUCAGAGAUGAGCAAUUCAUGAUGCUUUUUCUUUUCUUUUUUUUUUUUUUCAGACAACUUCUUACUUUGUUGCCCAGGCUGAAGUGCAGUGAUGCGAUCACGGCUCACUGCAGCCUCGACCUCCCAGGCUCAAGCGAUCCUCCCACCUCAACAUCCCAAGUAGCUGGGACUCCAAACGCGUGCCACUAUGCCCGGCUAAGUUUUGUAUUUUUAGUAGAGAUGGAGUUUUGCCAUGUUGCCCCGGCUGGUCUCGGACUCCUGGGCUCAAGCAAUCUGCCUGCCUCUGUCUCCUGAAGUGUUGUGAUUACAGGCAUGAGCCACCGCACCUGGCCAAGAUGCUUUUUCUGUUUCUGAGAUACAAUGAACUAUAUCUUAAGAAUUCAUAAAGCCCUAAAAAGUAAAUAUUUACAACCAGAAAUCUUUCUGACAAAGAAACAAGAUUACUCAAACACAACUGAAAGGAUGAAGAAGGAAAACAAUUUAAUGUACCCUGGUCAUGCAGUUACUUUCCUUUAUCCUUACUAACAGUGCUUGUCAAGAUGGUUCUGGAAACUGAAUAAAUUGUUAUUAACUAAAUUCUAAAAGCUUCAUAUAAUCAUCUGAUACAUACAUCACAUCAAUUUCAGCCUAGGCUCUCUAUGGUGGCAAAUUAUUUCAGCACUAAAUCAUGAAGGCUGGAUUCUUGAAGCCUGGCAGAGGCAAAUGUCUCAUUAAUGCUGAUCUGAGAGACAUCUGUGAUGAGCCUGAACAUCAGGCCAAUCUGCAGAGCUGAUCAGGGGCUGCUGAGUGGUUCUGAAGUGAGUCAGGCUGUGAAUGAAGACUCCACCAGAAUGAGGAGAAUUCCAUGCAUGGAGAUUCAAAUAAAGACAAAAGGGAGAUGCAACUAUGGAGGCUGAGAAGUCCCACCAUCGGAGCGCCUCUGCCCCGCCGCCCCAUCUGGGAUGUGAGGAGCGCCUCUGCCCGGCCGAGACCCCGUCUGGGAGGUGAGGAGCGUCUCUGCCCGGCCGCCCCGUCUGAGAAGUGAGGAGACCCUCUGCCUGGCAACCACCCCGUCUGAGAAGUGAGGAGCCCCUCCGCCCGGCAGCUGCCCCGUCUGAGAAGUGAGGAGCCUCUCCGCCCGGCAGCCACCCCAUCUGGGAAGUGAGGAGCGUCUCCGCCCGGCAGCCACCCCGUCCGGGAGGGAGGUGGGGGGGGGUCAGCCCCCCGCCCGGCCAGCCGCCCCAUCCGGGAGGGAGGUGGGGGGUCAGCCCCCCCGCCCGGCCAGCCGUGCCAUCCGGGAGGGAGGUGGGGGGGUCAGCCCCCCGCCUGGCCAGCCGUGCCGUCCGGGAGGGAGGUGGGGGGGUCAGCCCCCCGUCCGGCCAGCCGCCCCGUCCGGGAGGUGAGGGGCGCCUCUGCCCGGCCGCCCCUACUGGGAAGUGAGGAGCCCCUCAGCCCGGCCAGCCACCCCGUCCGGGAGGGAGAUGGGGGGGUCAGCCCCCCCACCCGGCCAGCCGCCCCGUCCGGGAGGGAGGUAGGGGGGUCAGCCCCCCGCCUGGCCAGCCGCCCCGUCCGGGAGGGAGGUGGGGGGGUCAGCCCUCCGCCCGGCCAGCCGCCCCGUCUGGGAGGUGAGGGGCGCCUCUGCCCAGCCGCCCCUACUGGGAAGUGAGG